UUUGCCUUUCUGUGCUUGACUUAGUUAAUAUAAUGACCUCAUUUCAUCCAUGUUGCAAUAACAAUAUUUCAUCCUUUCUAUGACUGAAUAUUCCAUAUGUAGAGUGAGUUUUCUUCAUCAGUGGGUGACGCAUUAUUAUUACCAUUCCUUGGCUGCUGUGAAUACUGUUGCAAUACACAUGAGAGUAGAGAUGUCAUUUAACAGAUGGAUUUCAGCUCCUUCAGUUAUAUAUCCAGGAGUGAGAUUGCUGGAUCACAUAAUAACUCUAUCUUUAGUUUUUUGAGAGCCAUUGAUACUGUUUUCCACAGUGGCCACACUAAUUUACCUUCCCAAGGACAGUGUGCAAGGAUUUCCUUUUCUCAUUGAUACUUGUUUCAAUUACUGGCCCUGCACUGGCCCCAAGUCACAGUCCUGUGGCACCUUGCUGUCUUCUCAGGGUUGGAGGAGAGUGAUGAAGGCAGCCUCUCCAGGCCCUGCAGUCAUACAUCCCUGCAAAGUCAGCCAAGCAGACUCUCGCCAAAAAAAAGACCACAAGACUGAAUACUACCAACAGCAAUCUAUGCAGGAACAAUUCAUCUCCUGGAGGGGUAAGAUGCCACUUUCAGUGUCAGCUUUCCCCUUGCAUAAAGUUUGGUGUGUGAUGUGUGUGCAAGUUUAGGUGAGUGUGCAGGUGAGUGAAGAAAUGAUAGGCUUCAUUCUCACUCUGAAAUCACAAACAAAUCAGGUACUUAACCAUUGGAAAAAAAUUUGUUUUUAAAAAUGUCAAUGAAUACAACACCAAAGGAAAAUUACAGUACAUUUUGAAAUUAUCAAAAAACAUUAUUUUCAAACCUAAAAUCCAUUUUUUUAUGUAUGUGUAGUUACCUCAAGGAUUUGCAGACCAACAGCGUGAAUGACUUAGAAUUAUAUUCGACCCUCCAAAUUAAAGCAUCCUGAUAGGCAUCAAAGAUAGUAUCUACAAAAGCCUGGAAAAUCGAAACCAUUUAUAUAUACAAUUUUAUAAACAUUUUAAACACCAAAACAUACAUCUUUUACAAACCAGCCUGUUUGCAACAGGUAAAUGUACAAGACAAUCUCUCCAAUACAGUGCUUAAAAAGAACUGCUUCCAUUUCCAAACACAUUUGUCACUCCCCAAAUGCAGUAGUAUGGGCUCAGAAAACUGUUAAAUAGUAGCAAUUCAGGUAUUUGCUUGCUGAAAGGGUACUACUGUACAGACUAAUGGGUCCAAACACACUCCACAUGUCUAUGCAAUCCUCUAGUGCAUCCUAAACACUGGAAGAGACUAAUUAUGGCCUUUGUGUAUUAUUAUAUAUUUGUAAUUAUUGCUUUUCAUUAUUACAUAGGGAAAGAAAUACCUUAUUCUUUUCCUAUCUCUUAGCCAGUUGGCUAAAUACUACCUGAUGCUAAACCCACAAAUAAUGACUUUAAACUUCAGCAUUGUACAAGCAGAAGCUCAAAGACAUUGCAGGUUUCCAUCAGAAUAAUGUGCAGUUGAACAUUGCAGGGCACAAACCAGCAAAAACACAUAACCAUCUUCUCAUAGACCACACAAAAUGAUGACAUUUAAGAAAUGCCUCUUUGUAUCUCCAUUUCCCAUGGGUGGAAACCAAAAACUGAAACCCUAAAAGCCCAGCCACGUUAGCAACAUCUGCACUGAGAGGGCAGCAGAGUGAAGAGGCCAGACACCCAUCUGGACAGUCCAUGCACAACGAACACUACCUCUUCCUGGGUGAAUUCAUAGGAAAUUGUUUUUUGGAUCUUGUGUGAUUUAUUUUAAUGGUCUCUUUUCUCAGUUCCCCUGACUUUGAUGAUUCAGACACAGCACUCAUGGGGUGCAGUUGGGAUAGAAGGAAAGUAGGAGGCAGGAGGGAGCCAAAGAUCAUACAACGCCUCCUUUCUUUCUUCCCAGGCCGUACAGGUGAUUGCCAAGGGGCUAUUCCAGAUAAAUCCCAGGAAUAAAUUCCCUUUCAAGGACUUCA
rnacentral:lncRNA from 1 species